UACGUAGGGUGCAAGCGUUAAUCGGAAUUACUGGGCGUAAAGCGUGCGCAGGCGGUUUUGUAAGCCAGAUGUGAAAUCCCCGGGCUUAACCUGGGAAUGGCAUUUGGGACUGCAAGGCUGGAGUGCGGCAGAGGAGACUGGAAUUCCUGGUGUAGCAGUGAAAUGCGUAGAUAUCAGGAGGAACACCGAUGGCGAAGGCAGCUCGCUGGGACGGUACUGACGCUGAGGCGCGAAAGCGUGGGGAGCAAACAGG
rnacentral:rRNA from 1 species